rnacentral:rRNA from 1 species
AUUGAACGCUGGCGGCAUGCCUUACACAUGCAAGUCGAACGGCAGCACGGGGGCAACCCUGGUGGCGAGUGGCGAACGGGUGAGUAAUACAUCGGAACGUGUCCUGUAGUGGGGGAUAGCCCGGCGAAAGCCGGAUUAAUACCGCAUACGCUCUACGGAGGAAAGGGGGGGAUCUUAGGACCUCCCGCUACAGGGGCGGCCGAUGGCAGAUUAGCUAGUUGGUGGGGUAAAGGCCUACCAAGGCGACGAUCUGUAGCUGGUCUGAGAGGACGACCAGCCACACUGGGACUGAGACACGGCCCAGACUCCUACGGGAGGCAGCAGUGGGGAAUUUUGGACAAUGGGCGAAAGCCUGAUCCAGCAAUGCCGCGUGUGUGAAGAAGGCCUUCGGGUUGUAAAGCACUUUUGUCCGGAAAGAAAACCUCCGCCCUAAUAUGGUGGGGGGAUGACGGUACCGGAAGAAUAAGCACCGGCUAACUACGUGC